UCAAGCGCACGCGCGGUGUUAUAUCCGUAAAAUAUGUAUGUUUCCUGAUGAGACUUUACUUUACGUGUGUAGAGCUGGACUAUACGUGUGGUGUUCCAACAGUAGUGUUAUUUUAGUGCGUUCCUGACGAUGGCAGAGUGCCCGAGCCCGCACAGAGGCAGUGUCUGCCCGACGCUCGCCGGAGCCAUUGUGCUGUACUUGUAUUUGUUUCGCGUCCUUGUACUUGACGUAAUUUCAUUACCGACGGAGUGACCAUGAGACUUGCGAUUUAUAGGAUCGUCUGAUUUUUUAAAAAGGUGUUAAUGUGAGCGUUUCAUGUGCGUAAACCACUUUAAAUUGCAACAUAGUGUUGGAAUUAGUGUCUUUUAGUGAUUUCUAAAAACAUUACAGCUUUAGAAUUUCUGAUAAGGAGUGUAACCACAGUUUAAAUUUAAUCCGGAGAUAUCUAUAAAAUGUGGCUACCGACGUAACUGCGCAUCGUAAUCGUAACGUAACAAGCCGCGUGCGCAAGCGAGAGCGGCAUGGCAUGACAUAUAUCCGUCGCGCUUCCAUAAAUUUCCACAAUAUCAGCUGAUAUCUGAACGUCGGCCGCGGCGGUCGUGUAGUCUACUCCCUCAGUGAUGCCGCGAUAGUGAGCCGCCAUGGAAGUGCUAAACGCGUCGCCCUCGCUCCGGCAGCGGGGCGUCAGUGCCAGUGAGAACCAUGAGUUAAACCAGUGCCCUAGUGUCAUGUCUGCGGAAACCAAGCGACUCCUCCCGCCUACAACGGAGACCAUCAUGACCAAACCCUUCCCCAUUAGAGGUGAAAGGGCGAACUACGUGAACAUUCCCCAUGUGAUCGCCAUGGUGGGGCUCCCGGCGCGGGGCAAGACCUACAUCUCCAAGAAGCUCUCCCGGUACCUCAACUGGAUAGGAAUCAAUACAAGGGUAUUCAACCUAGGCGAGUACCGGCGGCAUGCCACGAGCGCAUACACGUCACACGAGUUCUUCAGAGCAGAUAACAAAGAGGCCAUGGCGAUUAGACAGCAGUGCGCGCUGGACGCUUUAAAAGACGUUUGCGAGUGGCUAGUCAAAGGGGGUGAGGUCGCGGUGUUCGACGCGACGAAUUCAACGCGGGAGCGCAGGCGCAUGAUCCGCGACAUCGUAGUACACGAGAUGGGAUUCAAACUGUUCUUCGUUGAAUCCAUCUGUGAUGACCCUCGCAUUAUUGAGCAAAACAUUAUGGAAGUGAAAGUGAGUAGCCCAGAUUACACAAACAUACAGAACACGGACAACGUUCUCAACGACUUCCUCCUCCGCAUCGAGCACUACAAGGAGAAGUACGAGCCGCUGGAGGAGAACCUGGAGUCCGACUACAGCUUCAUGAAGAUCUACGACACGGGAGAGAAGGUAAAAAAGGUAGUGGUGCACAAACAUGAAGGACACAUACAGAGCCGGAUAGUCUACUACCUGAUGAACAUACACAUAGUGCCACGGACCAUAUAUUUGACUAGGCACGGUGAAAGCAUGCACAACAUCGUCGGCCGUAUCGGAGGCGACAGCGCUCUCUCUCCCCGCGGCACGCAAUACGCCAGCGCCCUAGCGCGCUACAUCGACGCCCAGGCCAUCCCUGGGCUACGUGUAUGGACGUCGUGGAUGCGACGCGCCAUACAGACGGUUAAAGACGUCAAGGCACCGCAGGAAAGGUGGAAGGCGCUUAAUGAGAUCGAUGCUGGCAUCUGCGAAGAGAUGACCUACGCCGAGAUCCAAGAAAAGUACCCUUCAGACUUCAACGCGCGGGACGCCAACAAGUUCGCGUACAGAUACCCCCGAGGGGAAAGUUACGAAGACUUAGUGGCGAGACUCGAACCUGUGAUCAUGGAGUUGGAGAGACAGGGGAACGUACUGGUGGUGUCACAUCAGGCGGUCAUGCGGUGUCUACUGGCGUACUUCCUUGACAAAUCUGCUGAGGAGCUGCCUUACCUCCACGUGCCACUACACACGGUGAUCAAACUAACGCCAGUCGCGUAUGGCUGCCGUGAAGAACAUGUUGCAUUGGCCGUGGACGCCGUCGACACACACCGCCCCAAGCCCUCUGUGAGUACCAUGUCUCAUCCACGCCAGUAGGUGGCAGCACUAUACGGUGAUCAAACUAACGCCAGUCGCGUAUGGCUGCCGUGAAGAACAUGUUGCAUUGGCCGUGGACGCCGUCGACACACACCGCCCCAAGCCCUCUGGCGAGGAGGAGGAAGACAAAACCGACAUAUAGGGCAC
rnacentral:misc_RNA from 1 species